AGCCAUGGUGGCCCGCGAGAGCUGGCCUCCAGCGCUGAAAUGGAAAGAGUCCUCAGCCAGCAGCCUCUGGAGAGGGUGACAGAGACGCGGGCGUCCACGGCCCCUCUGCAGACAGCCUGCCAUCAGAGUGACUGGGUGACCCGAUUUGUGAGUCCAAAAACAAAGAAUGAGGAAAGAACAUCGGCCUGAUGAGCAGGUGCAGCUGGUGGUCCAGCACCUCCCAGGCAACACCCACUCACCCAGCCCCAUGGCAUCUAACGAGGCCAGCCACGAUGGUUCCCGGGAACCCCAAACACAGAGGAGCCCUCUGUGGGGGACCGAGCAGACCCUCCAGGAUGCCCUGCUGCCCAGGACCGGGUCACCUCUGAGCAUCCCAGCUCCUGGACACCUUCUGCAGAUGUCAGGGCCCUGCACGGCAGCCCACGGCCCACCUUCUGGGACCAGUAAAGGAUGAAACGGGAAACCAGUGGGGUUCAGCUUCAUCCAGCCCUCAGUGAGGACUCAGAAAGCUGCCCGGGCUGUUUCCAGUAAGGAGGAAAAUUUUCAGGAAGUGGCUCCACUAUCCUCCACCAGGAGAAGCUGUGCUUGGGAGCCAGGCCCGCCACAGCCCUGCACGUUUACUCCCAAGACAGUAAAAGCCUAACCGCGGCCCUGGCAGCUUUGCUCUGUUUCGUUUUUACCAUUUUGUUUUUAUCCAGAUUUGGGGGAAACACCAACAAAAACAAAAAGCAAAA